CCGCACAAAGCCCAGCUCCGCCCCCGGCCCGGGGCGCGCUGGGACUCGUAGUCCCGCCGCCCCUGCGGGGGAGGGAAGGGGCCCGCCGGGGGUUCAGGCGCCCCCUCGGCCUCCAUUUUACCUCAGCCAGCGCGGCCUUCCCCACCCAGACGGCCGCCCCCGGCCUACGGGGCGGGCGGGAGCCGGGGGUCUGCCUGCCGCGGGCCCGCAUCCCCCCGCACCCGGAGCGGUGUCAGCGGCGGGGCUGACAGACACCCCCUCUGCGGCUCGGGGGCCGCUUGGCUUCGGACGGCGGGGAAGGUUUGAGCCGCGCUGAGGGGCGCUGGAGGAGUCACGGCCCCGCUCGCCGACCCCACAGCCAUUCACCAAAAUCGGGAAAACGGGGCAGUAUCAGGGUGACGCCACCCAAAUAAAUCUGUAAUGGAGAGGACACCGCCUUGGCAAAAUUGGGAGGAUCAUCCAUCUCCCAUGCGUAUCAAACCCGCCUGCUCUUCAGGUGUUAUUUUCCAUUUAUUGUUCCACGCAAAUUCUUUCCAACGCGACUUUUAAGUCUUGUGGUGGUCAAACACAGCCCCCACCAAUGCUUUGGCCUGGGCCGCUGGGCAGGGGCUGUGUUAGAAGCAAAGAUUUGAAGAAAAUUCUGCUGCUGGGCUUGAGAUGGUACUGACCCAUUUGGUGACUGUGCUGUAUUGCACUUAUAUCUAUUUUAUUCUCCAGUCCAAGACCUAAUUGCCUUCCAGUCACCCCCUGCCUAUCCAUAUCCCUCUGUCUUAUAUUAACAUUCAAUUAUCCUUCCAGAGAAGAAUACUUUUCACUCAGCUCUCACCUCCACGACGACGCACCUACUGCUGUUUCUCCUCCUGGUCAUUGCUGCCUUCAGUCCAUCCUUGCUUUGGUGACCCACAGCGCAGGGGAGGUAUGUGCACCGCUCCGGUGCUCAGUGUUGUGCCAGCCUCACGGUUAUGGAUAAAAUUACAAACGUCAUUAAAGGCUUUCAGUGAUUAUCUGUGAAGUUCUGCCUUUUGCUGCCAGCUAGUUCAGGAAAUUCGGUAAAUCUCAGGAAUCCAGCUACAUGAUGAUUUACUAACCCUGUUACCUGGCGGACAGCAGUAAGCGGAACAGCACGCUCUGCAAUGGAAUUUGGCAGGAUCUGUGAAUUUCUACUGGGAUAUGGGAGCAUUUCCGGCUUUGCCUGGUAGGAGAUGGAUGACAAUGGUGCUAGAGGAACAGCUGACGAAGCUCCACAAAAGCAAUGCAUUAGGAGACCUGAGCUGCAACACAGGUGAUCCUGCAGUUGAAACCCAAGGAAGUGACGGUCUCCGCAGACAACAUAAGUGUCGGACCUGGACCCCUGCCCCACCGAAGUUGAUGCAGGUUUGCUCUGGAGGGCAGAAAGUGUUGUCUGCAAGCAAAGCUGCUUCAGUAUUUAUGUCUCUGGGUCUUCUCGAUUCAGUUUCCUGGCCACUGGUCGCCACGCCUGCUCGCAUCCUCUCACACAGCUCAGCUGGAGAUGAGCCUGCUUGAGCAAGUCAAGUCUCUCUGUCCCCCGGGGCCUGUACUCCCUUCUCACGUGCAAACAGAACAGGGAGAAACCGCCUUUUUGUGUAGAGGGGCUCACAGGGCUGCGCUCGUGGUCCUGCGCAAGGCGCUACCCAACGAGCGAAGUCUGCGGCUGCAAAAGAGCGAUUUAUAGCAAAUUUGCACUUUGCUGUUGGGGGAGGUGGGCCGGCCACCGCUGCCACCGCCCACGUGGAGCACGCCUUGCUCGGCGGGCACCAUCCCCACUGCCACCGGGGACGGGUGGCACGCAGUCUGCCGGUCCCCCGCCGUCACCGGGCCGUCGCCCGGCCUCGGCCUCACCUCUGCCUCCUGACUGCAACGUUUAGAGAGCGUUAGCAUCUUUUGAGACAAUUGCAAUUCCAGCUGCCGCUGCCCCGCGUCCCGCAGCCCGCCGGCUCCGCGCGCUCCCAAGCGCAGAGGUUGGCUGCGGAGGGGAGCCGGCCCCACCGCACGAGCCGACGACAGGCGAGACACCUGGGUGCACCCCAGCUGGGGUUAGCAGGGGCCCGGCGAUGCCCGUAGAAAGCAGACAGAUCGUUGAUGUAAAGGGAGGAAAUUUAGACUGAACUUAAAAAUUAAACUUUUUAAAUUAGUAAAUGCUUUACUGAAGAACAAUUUCCAUUGGUGAGUACGUGAUUCCUUAUUGCUUGAGGGAUUUAAAACCAGACUACUCUCCGCUCCAAAAAAGUGCUAUAAGCAACAGUUCUUUGCUUAUAAUGAACUGGAAAUACUGGCAAGUCUCCAUCUCCUUCAAAUAUUUUCCCUUGUAUCUUCAGAGGUUAAAAUAAAUUCUUCUGAGAUGUAACAGAUGUAGAACGCUGUCAGCGACAUUGCUCCGGCUUUUCUAACCGAGUUCUCUUUCCUCUAAAAUUCACAAGAAGCAGCAACAGUGAACGCCCGUUCCCCCUGACCGAGGUGGCCUGCAGAGCGGGCGCCCCCGAGACGGAGCAGCUCCGUCCG